AUAGAUAAAUCAGAUAUGGAAUCCAAACCCUAAUUUUGGAUUUUGAUCAAGGAAUUAGAAUAAUAAUAUAAUAUUAAUUAUAUUUUGAUUUUUCAGUGCUAUAAAUAUGUACUGUAUGUACGUAUUGAUAAUGGUUGGUCAAUUAUAGUGUAUUAUGACCAAACCCUAGCAAUAUUUUUAUAAACCCUAGUAUUACUGUUAAACCUUAAUUCCGAAGUCAAAUGAGACUUUAAAAAAAUAUGUUUAGACAUUGUGUUAUGUGUUAUACGAUUUGUAUUUUAGGUAAAGCCUUAUUAUUAUGGAAAACCAUAAUUAUAAAUUAAAACCCUAAUUUUUGAAAUUAGAAACCCUAAUGUGAAACUUAAACCGGAGGUUAUGUUCAGUCAGAAAUUGUGUUUAUGUGAUUAAUAUCAUGUAUGAUUGAGUUUAUUGCUAAUUAUGGGAAAACCUAAUUAGUAAUCUAAAACCCUAAUAUCUAGAACCCUAAUUUAGUAAUUUAAAACCCUAAUUAUUAAUUAUAAACCCUAAUUGAUAAAUUCGGCACCUUAAUUGCUAAAUUUGAACGCUUAAUAAUAAUUAGUAAAUGUUAAAUCCUAAUGUGCAAGACCUAAGUGGCUAGGUAACCUAACUUAAUUAGGAGACCCUAAUUACAAAUUUUAGAAACUAAUUUUAUUUUUAUUUUAAACCCUAAAUGAAAACCUAAAAAUUCAUUUUGUGCUAAACCUUAGGGUUAAAACCUAAGGGUCAAACCCUAAAGGUUUGCUAAUUGACCAAAGUGCCAUUAAAAUCUCAAGAUAAAUGACUAUUUUGCCCUUAUUGUAUAAUUGAAGCUAACUUGUCAAAAUUGCCAAGAUGGGAGUUGGUGACCAAAUACAACUACUCUUUUGACUUAAUAUUCACCAGCUAUCAGCCAAGUACCAGCCAUACAUGCAUCUAACACAUAUAUAUAUAGGAUUGGAAAGAGAGAAUUGAACAUUCAUGCUCAUUUUUGUACAAACCCUCAACCUAUCUCUCUCAACUCAAAACCCACGAAAUCCUUUGCUAAGACUAGUCCCAAAACACAGCCCCACUACUGCUCAUAACCAAAUCAGUGGCCUAGAAUCAAAACUUGUUCAUAAAAGGUAUAAACCCUAACUUGAAAUCUGUUCUAUGAUCCUAUGUUAAAUGUUAUGAUUGAGUGUUAAAAUAUGUUGUUUAUAGUAUAUAAUGAUGAUCUGGGUUGCUAGAUGUUAGAUCCAUAACAUCUAGAGGCUCAGAUUUGAAGUUUUACAAAAUCUGGAAAAAAAUUGUUUUAUGUUCUGAUAAUGCAUGUCAGAGGCUGUAGAUCUUUCUCGGUUUAUGAUUUGGUUGUUUAGAUGUUUGCACUUGUAGUCUGCAAUGAUAUCUUUGAUCGGGUUUUGAAAUCAUGCUCGAAUCAGAUCCAGGUUGCAAGAUAUUCUUAGUCAAACAUGGUUGACCGAGCAUGACUGGGCAAUUCUGGGUAACCCAGAAAUUGCCCAGAUCGUGUCUGACAAGCUUUUGUUGACCUUGGAUCUGUCAGUGUUUUGUUGUUAUGAUGUUGUUGUUGUAUCUAAGUUGUAGUCUGGUAUAUGUAUUACAUGUUCAUGCCUUUAUAUCACCUAAAUGAUAAACAUAAGGGAUUUAGCCGCGGGUUAAACCAGCCAAGUCGAACAUAUUUUUUGUUUUCUAGGUAACCCAGAAAACAUUUGAAUGUGUUGUCUGACAAGGUUUGACCGGACAUUAUCUGCUUGAUUUGUUGUUGUUAUGAUGAUGUUACGUAAUAGAUCUGUUGUCCUACAUGUUGGCUACACACUGAAGCUUAUAUAUCACUAAAACAUUACAUAAAAAGCAAGUAGUGGAAGCCCAAAGUAGGCCUCACGAACUGUUCUUCAUUUCUGGGUAACCCAAAAAAGAAGAACAGGUUUGACAGCCAAUUUAGAGGCUCAGAUCUCUUUUGUGUUGUGUUUUGUUCAUGUUUGUUGUUAGAUCUUGUAGUAUUACACUAGUACUAUAAGAUCAAGGUAUUAGCUUGCCCAGAAACACAAUGAUAUAAUGUUUAAAGUUUGGUCAAACUAGCUAGCUCGUUCACUGACUUGAUUUUCUGGGUUUGAAGAUGCACAUGAAGAACACCUAUACCGACGGUUUUGUCGCUAUAGGUGGUCUUUAGCGACAGUUUCUUUAUAAAAAUUAUAUUUUUAUUAAAUAAGUAUAGAAAAUUAGUUUUGAAUUAUUAAAAAUACAAAUUAAAUUAUUCAAAAUUAUUUUAAAGUCUAAAAAUUAGUUUUUAAUAAUUUUUAAUAUAUUUCAUAAAUAAUUAAUAUUUUUGAGAUAUUAAAGGUAUUUAAUU
rnacentral:lncRNA from 1 species